rnacentral:rRNA from 1 species
AUUGAACGCUGGCGGCAGGCCUAACACAUGCAAGUCGAACGGUAACAGGAAACAGCUUGCUGUUUCGCUGACGAGUGGCGGACGGGUGAGUAAUGUCUGGGAAACUGCCUGAUGGAGGGGGAUAACUACUGGAAACGGUAGCUAAUACCGCAUAACGUCGCAAGACCAAAGAGGGGGACCUUCGGGCCUCUUGCCAUCGGAUGUGCCCAGAUGGGAUUAGCUUGUUGGUGGGGUAACGGCUCACCAAGGCGACGAUCCCUAGCUGGUCUGAGAGGAUGACCAGCCACACUGGAACUGAGACACGGUCCAGACGCCUACGGGAGGCAGCGGUGGGGAAUAUUGCACAAUGGGCGCAAGCCUGAUGCAGCCAUGCCGCGUGUAUGAAGAAGGCCUUCGGGUUGUAAAGUACUUUCAGCGGGGAGGAAGGGAGUAAAGUUAAUACCUUUACUCAUUGACGUUACCCGCAGAAGAAGCACCGGCUAACUCCGUGCCAGCAGCCGCCGUAA